rnacentral:tRNA from 1 species
CAGGGAGACAACAAAAUGUUUAAUAUUAUUAUUUUGUCACCUUAGGUCGAUCGGUAUCUCACAUUCUUAAUUUAUUAAGGAUUUUAUUUCCUAAGUUUUUUCUAGGUCACACCCAUUACUUUUCCUGGGCCAUUAGCUCAGGUGGUUAGAGCGCACCCCUGAUAAGGGUGAGGUCCCUGGUUCAAGUCCAGGAUGGCCCAUAUCUCUAUGUUGGGGGUAUAGCUCAGUUGGUAGAGCGCCUGCUUUGCAAGCAGGAUGUCAGCGGUUCGAGUCCGCUUACCUCCACUGAUUACCACCUCUUCCAUAAUUAUUAAGGGAAUGUUUUGAGUAGUGAUCAAAUUCUGAACGAAUCUAGCUUCCUAAUGAAUUCAUUAAGAUGCUGGACUCAUUGAAUUAUUUUCAUUGUUUUCAGAGAACCUUGACAACUGCAUAGAUUAUUUUUAAAGACAAUAAGCAUCUUUAUGAUGCAGAUUUAUUAUUUGUGCGAAUGCAUUAAUAACAAUUCUAUUAAGCUGAUGCUUCAAUUAUGAAGUUAUU